rnacentral:rRNA from 1 species
GACAGAGGUGCCAAGCGUUAGGCGGAAUCACUGGGCUUAAAGCGUGUGUAGGCGGACUUGUAAGUACCUUGUGAAAUCCCACGGCUCAACCGUGGAACUGCUUGGUAUACUGCUUGUCUUGAGCCACUUAGGGCUACCGGAACAAAUGGUGGAGCGGUGAAAUGCGUAGAUAUCAUUUGGAACGCCAAUGGUGAAAACAGGUAGCUGGGAGUGUGCUGACGCUGAGACACGAAAGCCAGGGGAGCGAACGGG